rnacentral:rRNA from 1 species
GGGGGGGGGGGGGGGGGGGGGGGGGGGGGGGGGGGGGGGGGGGGGGGGCCGGCGUUUGUGGGGGGCGCGGGGGGCGGACGGGGUGGGAACACGUGGGUGGCCUGCCCUUGCCUUUGGGGUACCUUCAGGACCCGGGGGCUGCUACCGGGUGGGAGCCCCUGCUGCCUGUUGGCGGUUGGCACUUUUCGGCGGGUGGGGAUGUCCUCGCGGCUUAUCAGCUUGUUGUUGGGGUAGUGGCUUACCAAGGCUUUGACGGGUAGCCGGCCUGAGAGGGUGACCGGCCACAUUGGGACUGCGAUACGGCCCAGACUCCUACGGGAGGCAGCAGUGGGGAAUAUUGCACAAUGGGCGGAAGCCUGAUGCAGCAACGCCGCGUGCGGGAUGACGGCCUUCGGGUUGUAAACCGCUUUCGCCUGUGACGAAGCGUGAGUGACGGUAAUGGGUAAAGAAGCACCGGCUAACUACGUG